AUUGAACGCUGGCGGCAUGCUUUACACAUGCAAGUCGAACGGUAACAGGUUAAGCUGACGAGUGGCGAACGGGUGAGUAAUGCAUCGGAACGUGCCCGGUCGUGGGGGAUAACGCAGCGAAAGCUGCGCUAAUACCGCAUACGAUCUGAGGAUGAAAGCGGGGGACCGUAAGGCCUCGCGCGAUCGGAGCGGCCGAUGUCAGAUUAGGUAGUUGGUGGGGUAAAGGCUCACCAAGCCAACGAUCUGUAGCUGGUCUGAGAGGACGACCAGCCACACUGGGGCCGGGGCACGGCCAAGAAUCCGACGGGAGGCAGCAGUGGGGAAUUUUGGACAAUGGGCGAAAGCCUGAUCCAGCAAUGCCGCGUGCAGGAAGAAGGCCUUCGGGUUGUAAACUGCUUUUGUACGGAGCGAAAAGGUCUCCUCUAAUACAGGGGGCUCAUGACGGUACCGUAAGAAUAAGCACCGGCUAACUACGUGCCAGCCGCCGCAGUAA
rnacentral:rRNA from 1 species